CACAUCGGAGACAGUGUGGCGCUUGUUGAAAACGUCUGUGGUUAAGGCCCAAAAAACUGCAUUUCAGAAAAAAAUUCCAAGGACAAUCUCAUGCAAGGAAAGAGCCCCACCAUUAAACAAACAAUCUAGGAUGGAAACCUCCAAAAGCUCUAGGGGCAGCAAGAAUGACUCAGCUGGAGCACGGUAAGUCCCUUGUCCAAGGUGUCCUUUGUGUGGGAAGUGUCCCCCUUUCCAGGAAGGGUUCUCACCUGACGUGGGCCACAAAGAGGACCCUGCUUCCGCAGUCGGGGCUUCUAGAGUGCCUCCACUGUCCUUUAGGUUUUCUCUGCUGUAAUCACUGGGGAUCUCAACCCUCAUCUGGGUCAUUUCUGUCUGAAGACCUCUGUGAUUUUCUUCUCCUCUUGGAGAAAGAGAGGGCGGAGGUCAGUUCUGGGGCUCCACAGUUCUAGGCUUUCUCCUAAGCCGCCUACGGGAGCGGAAAGAGAUCACGACGGAGAGAAAGGUCAAUAAAGAGGAUCCCAGAGGAGCACGAGAUUGCAAGGGCAGGCCCUCAUGGGAGACAGUCAGAACCCCGACAGGGUCAAUAUCAGACCUAUUCAGAGGGAGAGGACACACCGAUCGAUUCUGUGGGCAGAGGAUCCAGUCCUGUCCUUCCAGACUUCUGAUCUACAGAACUGUGAGAUGACAAAUGUGUGUUGUUUUAUACCACUGUCUCUGUAAUCUGUUAACAGGCAGCAAUAGAAAACUAAUUCAGAUGCUUGUCUCUAUUCUGUUGAUUUUUUAAUUUUCAAAACACGUAUGGUAAUGCCCAUAAACUAAAAAAGACCAAAGAACCACAGUAAAAACCUUGUGCCGUGCAAAUCUUGUGUUCCCCUUCCUAUGACUGUUCCCAAACCCUUGUAUCAGGAAGGACACUAUGAAGGGCAUUUCAGGCGCUGGAGGAAUGUCUCUUUAAUGUGACCAACCCAAUCUCUAAAAGAGUGAAGAGGCCACGAUACUUAACUCCCCAUAACAUUCUCUACGAAUCCAUCAUCUAUCUCUAUUUUCUAAGAUCAUGUUUUAGCUCCUUGUUCUUCUGAACUCACCACACAAGGUUUUAUAGCAAGUACCAGUUCCCGGCACAGGCGAACCAAUUCAAGGAGAGCAAUAGAACAGACACUCUAUUAAGUUCCCCAAACACAUUGUUUACAUUGAAUGCAAUCUCUCCUCCUAUUCGGACUAGAAAUAAAGAACAGUUCUAUUUUUGGAACUCCAUUUCUAACGAAAAUUUCAACUUACAGGUCUCUAUUUUCCAGGUGUUCUUCUGCUCGAUUCCAGUCAUGGACACCUCACUCCUUAGGGUUAGCGAGUUCCCAAUGCCCUGCAGCCUGGACUCUCUCAGUGGAACUCAGGGGAACGCAACCUCAAACCUCAUCUAUGAACCAGGCCCUCACCCUCAAAAUCCAGGACAGUGUGCAAACCCAACAGGCAAUAGCAUCCACCCAGGAGGAGGGAUAUGUUUGCACGUCUCUUGGCCCAGAUUAUCCGAGAGAACAGAGCAGUCAUAACAUAGAAGAGAACAGAGAAAAAUCAUAUGGAUUUCAGCUUUGCCAGGAUGUCGGUGAAGUCAGACGAAUGAGCAUAAACUCAUUGGAGGAACUCUCUCAAGAAGGAUUUAAUUGUUGACAAAAAUAGACGAUCGUGGGGUGUGUUCUUUCUGGCUGCAAGGAAUGAAAGACCGAACUUGCUGACGAAGAAGUGUGUUCCUGGCGAUUUGGCUUAAGGGAAUUGACACCAGCUUUCCAGGAGGAGCAGCUGUAAACACCCAGCCUCAGGAAGGAAGCUUAUGUUCUCUGUGAGAUAUCUAGGCUCUGAAACUCCACAACUUGUUUUCACCCUUAAAGAAAAAACAGAUUCUUUCCACCUAAUCCUUUUAGUAACCAACGUGAACCGUAGGAAUUUAGGCAGGAUUUUUCCACGUCUGAUUUAAAGUCGAGAGAUUGAGGACAAGGUGAAGAGAGAAUCUAGUUAAGAGAGAACGUGCAGGACAAAUAUAGCUUAAAAGGACCUGGGAUCAGUGAAAACCCGGUGUCCCUCGCGGGGCCUGACCACCCUCCCUUCAUCUGACAGAUGAACCAGCCCACCUAUUACCCAACGAAAGGCGGGCGCUGGUCCUCUCUGCCAGGUCUCUCUAGCCCCAGGCUGCCGCAGCCUGGGCUCUUCUCCCUUGUCUAACCGCGCCAGCGCCAGAAGACCUGGGUCCAAGAAUUGUGUGGAGAUAUCUACACUACCAUCGUGUGAUAUCCUAAGAAUCAGAAAUUUCUGUUGGUGACAAAGUGACAGGACUGUCAUAUGCCCACAUUCAGACGGAAAAGCUACAUUUCUUGAAGAAAUUAGUCAAGUAAAGACGUCAUUCUCCCACCCACCUUAGAUGUACGACGUUUUGCAGUGCAUGUCGCUGGAUCGCGUGGCAAGGGCUGUUCUAGGCGGUUUUGGUGACCGGCGGCCUCCAUCAAAGGCAUGGAGCACUUGGCCGGCUCUGUGGGGUCUCCUCCCGCAAAGGGGCAGGGCCCCUCCCCCUUCCUUUUCCUAGGAAACUGCGGGACACUGUUCCCAACUCCCUCCCCUGGUGAGUGUGAGAGCGUCAUGACUGCUCGUUUCUUCCCCGGAAAUCCUGUUCCUCAUAUCUGUCCUUACCAGACACACCUUCUGAGUUCAUCUUUCUUCUCCUUUUAUCCCCUCAAAAUCUUGCUCCCAUUUCUAAAUCACAUCCUUGGCCUGAGCCUGAAAAUCUUUUGCUGUUGCUCUUGUUCCUUCUAUGGUAGUUUUAGUCCUCAAGCGCUCUUGUUCUAAAGUGGUCUCCGGAUGAAGCGCCAUCCCCAGGCAUGAGGCCUAGCACCCCGCGGCCUAAACCGGGAGGGUGAUGACGUCACUUCCUGCUCAGUUUCCUGUCCUGCCAUUGGCCGGCAGGGUGGAGUGGGAGGGGAAAAGUGCGGGCAGGAGGCGGUGCGUGGGUCAGAAGGAAGUAGCAGUGAAUGACACCAGGCCAGGGGGCGGGUCUUAUGCAGAUGAGACAGGCCCAGGGGCUGCUGUUCAGACUCCCGUUGGUCACAGACUCUAUGACUUCCUGAGCCACAGGGAUGGAGUCCAGGAUGGUUGCCUGAAUUUGAGAGCAACUUCUUUGCAGAGGACCCCAGGGACUGGGGGAGGGGGUCCUAGAGACUGGGAGUGGACUGUGUAAGGCUAUAAGGCUAUGCCAGGGCAGCAGGGAACGAUGUUUCAUGCGCUGUGCCACAGAUAGCCCCCAAAUGGAGGUGCUUCCUCAGGGUAAGGUUGCUGAAUCGUACUUCAUCGUUUGUCAUCCCCAUCAUUUUUCCAACUUUGAGGGUCUGACUGUGUCAUAUGUGACCCCGAGUCCUGGUGCAUGGGCUGUGUCCUGUUUGGGAUUUCCUGAGAGCUGUCUUAAUCCCGAGCUGUUCUCCUAAUCUUUCUUUCCUUCCAAAUUGGCCACUCUAGCUCUUCUGCUGAUCUAGUGCUGUGGGCACUGAGUUCUCUCCUGCUCCCUUCAUGAGGCCUGCCACAGACUCAGGGGAGGAACAACACUGGCCAGGCCCAGGGUCUUUACUGUCUGUUGCUUGGCUCCUGUUGCUGCUGGCUAAUGGUUUUUGUUUUGUCGUUGCUCUGUGAGUGAGUGUGCGUGUGUUUUGCCACGUGUUUACAUUGGGUGUGAGCUUUUGGGGACACAUGAGAAAGCUGAUGCUGGGAACCUCAGGCCACCUUCUGUGGGUUCUGCUGCUUCUCUGGCUUCUCUCCAGGUUGUUGACCUCUGUUGGAGGCCACUGUCCCCUCACCUCUGCCUUUGGGCAUUUCCUGUCUACAGGCCUCUGACAUCCUUGGAAUGCUCUGGCCACCCAGCCCUUGAGGAGCUCUUGCCUAGGAACCCACAAAAUGCCUGGGGUAACUGGGAAUCCUCUUCUCUGCCAUGGUUAUCAAACACACUUCCUUCUUAGAAGGUCCCAAGAAUUAGGACAAUUCUGAGUCCCCCCACCCCCUACCCCCCAAUAAAGCUUGGCAUCUCAGUCCAUGGCUCUAGAAUGCACUGGAUUCCAAGCUCCUCAGAGAUACCCGCUGUUGGUCCAGGGACACUAGGUCAGAGCUAUGGUUGCCAGCACCAUGCUUGUCACACAGGGCCUCCUCCAGUCCUGGUGCCACCACUUGUCUGGUUGGGACCAGGGCCCACCUCCUGGGCUUCCCCUGUGGGUCACGUGGAUGGAAUAGUGUCCCACACCUCCUAGUGCUGUGCAGAUGGAGAUACCCCAACUGCUCACUUAGCACAGUUUGUGCUUCCUGGUAUGAUCUGCAUUGACAGAAUGAUAUAUUUUCUUCAACUGGAUCAUGCAAUAUGCAGAAGGCUGCAGAAAACAUAAACGUACACCUUAAUGAAUGGCUGUAAAUUAAAAUAACGCCCACCUAGAUCAAUACCUACAAUUUAUGAGACUUCCAGAAGCUUCACACGUGCCCCUUCCUAAAGACAUUUUAUUCCCUGCCCUUAGCAGUAACCGCAGUCUUAUGUUCAUGGUGUUCCAUUCCUCGUUUACUUCAUAGUUUCAUUUAUCAUGCACUCCGCACAGGUCUGGGUUUAACCUGUAAUCAUACGGUAUAUAUUCUCUUCUGUCUGGCUUUUUUCACUAAAAAUUAUGGAUUCAGGAGUCAUCAGUGAUUCCUCCGUUGCCAUGGCUAACGAACUAUACCCCGAUUUAGUUCUCCAUUCUAUUGACGAUGGACAUUUGGGUUGUUUCCAGUUUGCGGCUCUUUCACACAAUGAGGCUAUGGUUCUUAUUGUGCAGGUGUCCUGAACUCAGUGGAUCACACAACAAGGAGUGGAAUUCUAGGGUCCUGUAUUUCGCCUGUCCAAGACUUUCUGAGGUUAAAAAACAAAUUAUAACGCAAAGCUGCAGAUUGUAAAAUUCAUAGGAACAGAAUAGAAUAAACUGAAUCCAUGUGAUUACUGGAUAUAUAGAUGCAAGCUUACAUGUUCGAGUACUAAUCAGUGUGUUUUCUAUGUUCAUCCUCCCCGCUCCAUUCAAGUUUGACAUCUCCACGUAUCCAACUAGAAUGACCUGGGAGGGCUAGAACCUAUUCAGCAGGGGGACCCCAUGGCUCCAUGAGGAGACCUGGCCUACACAUGCUUUUCUCUUGGGAGCUUUUUAUACUUUGGACUCUCCAGACCCUCUCACAAGACCAGGGUUUGGCAAAUGAAGGAUUUGGGCCCAGGCUUGGGGAUAGCCAGUGGAAAAAGAAAGGAUCUCCAGAACGAGGGCAUUGGAGGAGGAAUGAGAGGCUGUUCCUGUGGAAAGAAAGGAGGCUGGAGGAUGAGAGACCAGAAUUUGUGUUUGCAGACUCGGAUAAAGGGGAAUUCCAGAGAGAGGGGCUGCCAUUCUGGGGCCAGGGACUAGAGCCACCUUGGUAUUCAGCUCCCCG
ensembl:lncRNA